UUUUCAACAACCAAAGUACAAGUCGUUUACACGUAAGAACCUCUUCUGACGAUGCUCACCCGCAUAUCUCACAGGAAGCUUUGGACCUCCGCCCGCCGGGUUCUCCUCCCAGCUCUCUGCUCCGCUGCCCUUACCUCUCUCACUCUCACAUCUUCUCUUCUUCUGCCUUUGCUCUUCGUUCUACAGCUUAUGCUUAUUUUGAUAGGCAUUGCUUUUCUACUCAACCUGCACUAGAACUUCCGGCCGGUAAGAUCACAAACUGGUGAAGGUAUUGCAGAAUGUGAACUUCUCAAAUGGCAUGUCCAAGAGAGCUACUAGAUUCUGAUCUUGAAAAAGGGAAACGUGCUGCAGUGUUAUGAACACCUGCUGUAAGGAGUCUUGCAAAGCAACAUGGUAUAGACAUAAAUGAAGUAUGUGGAACUGGAAAAGAUGGAAGGGUAUUGAAAGAAGAUGUGCUCAAUUUUGCUGCUAAGAAGGGAAUAAUUAGAAAUGUAUCUGCUGCUUUGCAUGCUGAUAAUGUAGAGAAGCCUCAAGGAGCAGAAGGAUAGAGUGUGACACCUCACACCUGGUAUAAAUCACCAUCAGAGGAUAGGAUACUUCCCCUAAGGGGAUACCAAAGAGCAAUGUAAAAUCAAUGUCUCUGGCUGCCAAGGUCCCACAUUUCCAUUAUGUAGAUGAGAUAAACUGCAAUGCUCUAGUGGAGCUUAAAACAGCGUUUCAGAAAAACAAUCCUUAUCCAGAUGUCAAGCACACUUUUCUGCCAAUAUUAGUCAAAUCAUUGUCAAUGGCCCUCACCAAGUACCCCUCUUUGAAUAGUUGCUUCAAAGAGGAUUCAAUGGAGGUCAUAUUCAAAGGUUCACACAACAUUGGAGUUGCCAUGGCUACUCCAAAUGGUCUAGUUGUACCAAACAUAAAGAAUGUCCGGUCUCUUUCAAUCUUGCAGUUCCUCCCAGGCUGAACCAACAUACUGUGCAUGACAGAUUCAGGUUAUGAUAUAAAUAUGGAAUAGAAGGAAUGGUCUCAAAUGGUUGAUUGGUGCUCACCUUAUCAGUGGCCUCAAUACACCAUCUCUAUAAUUCACCCAAUCCUGCCUUUACAUACUUUCUAUUGCUAAAUGAACAACACUUAUGACGCAACAGAA